GAAUUUUUAUUUUUUUUGUUCCAGCCGAAAUUUUAACAAAUCAAAAAAAAAAUUACUCCACAACAAUUAAUUGCUGUGGAUGGAACCCAUAUAUAUAACAAUUAACCCUAGUUUAUACGUAUAACAUUAUCCACCACAGAGUUGGAGUGCAAUGAACUGUCUAUCUACUCAGACAAGUUGAUAGAAGUGGGGCCAAACCGAUCGAAAAAGGUCAAGCCGUCUGUUUUGUUUAAGAUGGGCCAGACCCAGAUAUAUUGUAGGCAUAUCUACUUACUGGGCUUUAGGUGGCCCCACUGGAAUGGCUGGCUGUAUAACAACUCCAAGUUGUUAAUUUGUUGAAGUGAUAUAACCCUAUUUUGCCCUUUUCCAUUUCUGCUUUUCUCCACUCACAAUCAUAUGAAAAGUGAAAGAAGUGUAAUACAGGGAAG
rnacentral:lncRNA from 1 species